UUGGAGGGCAAGUCUGGUGCCAGCAGCCGCGGUAAUUCCAGCUCCAAUAGCGUAUAUUAAAGUUGUUGCAGUUAAAAAGCUCGUAGUUGAAUUUCGGGAUCAAUGGGUUGGUCAUGCCCUCGGUAUGUACUGAUUUCAUUGGUUCUCACCUUCUAAGGAACCAUGAUGUCAUUUAUUUGAUGUUGUGGGAAAUUAGGACUGUUACCUUGAAAAAUUAGAGUGUUUAAAGCAGGCUAACGCUUGAAUACAUUAGCAUGGAAUAAUGAAAUAGGACAUCCGAUUCUAUUUUGUUGGUUUCUAGGAUCGAUGUAAUGAUUAAUAGGGAUAGUUGGGGGCAUUAGUAUUCAAUUGUCAGAGGUGAAAUUCUUGGAUUUAUUGAAGACUAACUACUGCGAAAGCAUUUGCCAAGGAUGUUUUCAUUAAUCAAGAACGAAAGUUAGGGGAUCGAAGACGAUCAGAUACCGUCGUAGUCUUAACCAUAAACUAUGCCGACUAGGGAUCGGAUGAUGCUUAUUUUUAAUGACU
rnacentral:rRNA from 1 species